AUGGCUAAUUAUCAGAACUAUGAGCAAGUAGGUCGGAACUAUGACCAAGUAGGCCCUCGUUCACAAUCACAAGGAUUCAGUGAUGUUGAAGCUAAUCGAUUGACUUCACUGCCUUCUCAACAUAUAGGUACCAUAAAGCCCUGUUCAAGAGCUAAAUGGAGUCGCGAAAUGAAGGUGUCUCUUAUUCAGCUCUUGAAAGAUCAUGAUGUACCUGGUUAUCGAACACACAAUGCAUGGAGCAAGGAAGCAUGGACAAGUAUUACUUCUCAACUAAAUACCAAGUUUGGCAUGUCGUUUAAUGUUAACCAAGUCAAGCAAAAGGAGCAAGAUUUGAAAAAAGCUUAUCGGAGUGUAAAAGAUUUGAUAGCAGAAAGUGGCUUUGGAUGGGAUAAAGAUAGAAUGAUGGUAGAUGCACCGGCGAGUGUUUGGGCUGCAUUUGUUGCUCGCAAGAACAGCAAGGACGCCCUGUUUCCGAGAAGUUCAAGUCAAAAUCGCAGGCAACCAUAA
rnacentral:rRNA from 1 species